rnacentral:lncRNA from 1 species
GUACUACUGUAUAUAAAACGGGUAAAAAAAUAAAUAAAUGACUGUUUAAAAUAAAAUGAGAUUUACAACAUAGCAAUGAUGGUUUGCCCUCACUAUACCUUAAGUGUAUGCAAACUAAAAAGAAAACUGAAAUCUUCAGUAAUAGUGUUUUUUUUUUUUAUCCUGACCAUUAAAAGGUUAAAAUUGUAAAAACAAAACUGGUUUAAGAAAAUCUACUGCAGUCUUGACUGUGUUAAUCCUCUAUCUCAUUGGCAGUUCUAGACUGUUCUUUCAGAUUUUAGAAAAAUCUAGUCUUGUAGAUCGGUUUAUAUAAACUGUUAUUGGUUGUUCUGACUUGAAAACAAAAGAGAAAUCAUAACAGCUUUUCUUCAACGAAAUCUAAUCCGUCGUCGCGACCGCCAUUUUGUAAAUUCUUUCUAGCGUCGAGAAUCAAACUAAACAAGCGUCAAAAAAAUAAGUGUAUAAAAUCACGUAAUUUCAGAAAACCCUUGCUGAAACAAAAAUAAGCUUAAAAUGAGGUUAAGUGAAAAGGAUAACGUUCGCUUAGCCAUUUACAGUCGAGCUUUGUUUAGGCUUUCGGUAACGUAAGCUAGUUAAACAUUAACCUGAAGAUAAACGUUAAAUGUUCGACUAAAUAA